UCCAACCCUGUUCCUGGAGAGUUACCGUCCAGUAGGUUUUAACUCCAACCCUGUUCCUGGAGAGUUACCGUCCAGUAGGUUUUAACUCCAACCCUGUUCCUGGAGUGUUACCGUCCAGUAGGUUUUAACUCCAACCCUGUUCCUGGAGAGUUACCGUCCAGUAGGCUUUAAUUCCAACCCUGUUCCUGGAGAGUUACCGUCCAGUAGGUUUUAACUCCAACCCUGUUCCUGGAGAGUUACCUUCCAGUAGGUUUUAACUCCAACCCUGUUCCUGGAGAGUUACCGUCCAGUAGGUUUUAACUCCAACCCUGUUCCUGGAGUGUUACCGUCCAGUAGGUUUUAACUCCAACCCUGUUCCUGGAGAGCUACCUUCCAGUAGGAUUUCACUACAAGAGGGUAUGUCUCCAGGAGCAAGGUUGGAGAGUCCUGGUAUAGGGAAUAGGGUGCUAUUUGAGACGCAACCCCAGGUGAUCCACCAGUGGGAAUCAGCGGUGAGGAGAAACCCCUCCCUCCUGUCUACCGUCCUGUUGAUUCUCUCACUGCCUCCUCAGAGUGCAUCUUGUGUUCGUCCCAAAUGACACCCUAUUCCCUAUGUAGUGUUCUGUAUAAGAACUAGGGUGUCAUUUGGGACGCGGUCCUAGUGUUUACGAGGAGGGGUCACCCCUUUCUUCGUCCAAUAGAGGUGAGGGAAUGGAGGACAGCACUGUCUCAGUCUGUUUGAUUUAGUGGAAUGAAAUUAUCAAUGUUUUAGCAUGCAGUUGGGGUGUGUGGGGCUACGUGAUUAAGACAUGUCUGGUUCCCUUAGGACGACACACACACACACACACACACACACACACACACACACACACACACAGGCUGAUGUGGAGAGAAGGCUCCAUUGUAUUUUCAAUGCCACAGCCUCUCUCUCUCUCUCUCUCUCUCUCUCUCUCUCUCUCUCUCUCUCUCUCUCUCAUCAGUGUUGCCUGUUUUGUAUGCUGUGUCAGUGUGACAAUUUGUGUUCUAAAUGUAUUACCAAGCAAUAUCAGUAGGUCUGACAGAACAAUUAUUGUCUGUGUCUGACCCCGUAGACCCACAUACCAUGCCUGUGUUACAAAUAUAAGGCAAAGCAACAAAAAACCUUCCUUGUGUUGUCAGUGGUUUCAUUGGUUCACCUUGGCAAGGUUACAACCUUCCGUUGGGGUAUUUAUACGGUAUCAUUAUUUGUGUGUGCCAAACCGAUGACCCUAUUCCUCACUAGACAGGGGCUUCGCGUCUCAUUGUUCCUCCCAUUGAGGACAUUCUGCUGGGAUGUGAACCAAUGAGUCUCCUAGUUGACACUAGAGCCAAUCAGCAAGGGUUUACCACGACACAAGGCAUUCAAAUGGAACAAAAUGGAAGUCUGAACAGAAUUUUGGAAUCCCUCGUAUCACAAACUCUUUCCUGUCUACUUUCUCCACUACUGUUUUUCUCAUCUCUGCUAAAGACUUUCGACAGAGGACAUCCUAUGACCUUGAAUUAGAUAACGCUCACCUACAGUAGAUCUACAAAACCACAAGUUCCUCUGUGUGUCUGUGUGGAUCAGAUCUGUCCGCUCAAGAUGCAUAGAAAUUGUCUUCCGUUGGCACAAGGUGCUGCCCAAGUACUACCUCUGAUGCGUUAGCAUCUGGCUAGCAGAGAUUAUCCAGGCUGUGUCCCAAAUGGCUCCCUAAUCCCUAUAUCAAAAGUAGCGCACUAUGUAGGGAUUAUGGUGCCAUUCGGAUGUAACCCAGUUCUCUCUGGCUGUCUGCAUGAUGUCAGGGGUUAAAGGUCAACAGCAAACCGAGGCAUCGGUCUAUCACCUUUUCAGCUGAUUAGUCACAGACGAUGCUCUCCAAAGUCCUCAGUCUUUCUCUCUUUAGUGUUAUCUAUUUAUCAUGCUAGAGGAAACUACAGCAAUUUAUGUAACCCUGUGGGUGAUCAGGGUUUUGUGAUUUAGAAAGAACACUGAAAUGUGUGGAGGAGUACUUAGAAACACUACUGAAAUGUUGUUGAGUACUUUCUAAGGUCUGGUAGAAUAAUGUGGUCAUUACUCAAGUACUACAGUUAGAACUCAGUGUUAUACAACGGGUGGGUCUAAUCCUGAAUGCUGAUUGGUUAAAACCGCAUUCCAGCCGGCGUCUAUUGCACAAGGUACCACCGGCUAAAUCUAUAUUGUUAAAAUGCCUAUUUACUCUGUUCCAUCUGACUGCCCAUCCACUAUCUCAUCAGUCCAGCCAGGCAAUUUAUAAACUUAAUCUCCACUAUAAAAAGCAUCUAGACAUUAUCUCACAUUUCUUUUAGCUUAACAUUUAGGUUUUCAACAGCGGAGAUUCUAUAAACCUUGCUGUCUGUCUCUCCGACAUUUGCAACAUCGUUUCUAUAUUGAAAUUGGAUCUCCAGCUGUAGCAUAGUAAUGAACGUGUCGGGAGUCGAGAUGAGAUGGACGGACGGACGGACGGACGGACGGACGGACGGACGGACGGACGGACGGACGGACGGACGGACGGACGGACGGACGGACGGACGGACGGACAGACAGACAGACAGACAGACAGACAGACAGACAGACAGACAGACAGACAGACAGACAGAUAGGUAGCUUUUCUCAGCCAGUUGAAAUCAUGAAUCAGCAUCAUUUGUAUGGAUAUACACAAAGAAAUAUGAAUAGAAAACAGGUAAAACAAAAUGAAGUGCAGCUAGUUUGCAGUCUUUCCAGCUUCAGUUUGAAGUGAUUGUGUUAGUUGUGUUGUUGGCUAGCUGCUCUGAACAACAGUGUCCUGACGAGAGAGCAUAUGUUCUGUGCCAGGCGAAAUCGCGCCUCAUUAGCUCAUUGUUAUGGAUGUAUCCAAAUAAAUAUCACUAGAAAACAGCUUAAACAAAUGCAAAUGCAGCUACUUUGCUGUUAUUCUGGCUGCACUGUUUCUAAAUUAGCCGUAGUUGGCUAGCUAGCAAGCAAGGGAUAAGAACGUUGCCAGGCAGUAUGGUUGCGUCCAUAGAUACAGAACAAAAAGACAAUGACUGGGUCACGUCUCUGGCAACCAAAUCGAUAGAACGAACAACUAGCCGGCUUGGGCAGAAACUGUCACGUCCUGACCAGUAAAGGGGUUAUUCGUUAUUGUAAUUUGGUCAGGACGUGGCAGGGGGGUGUUUGUUUUAUGUGGUUCGGGGUUUGUUGGGAUAUGUGUUUAUGUAGAGGGGUGUUUGUUUAGAGUAUUCUGGGGUUUUUGGUUAUGUUCUAUGUUUUGUAUUUCUAUGAUCUGUCUAUGUUGUGUAUUUCUUUGUGUUGGCCUGGUAUGGCUCUCAAUCAGGACCAGCUGUACAUCGUUGUUGCUGAUUGGGAGUCAUACUUAGAUAGCCCUGUUUUCACAUGUCCCUUGUGGAAAGUUGUUUUUGCACUGCUGUGUGUGUAGCAUGCAAUACUGUGCGUUCGAUCGUUUUCUUGUUUUUGUUUUGUUACGUGUUCAAAUAAAGUUAAGAUGAGCACUCAACCCGCUGCGCCUUGGUCCACUGUAUACGACGGCUGUUACAGAACUUCCCACCAACAAUGGACCAAGCAGCGGGGUAAGGAGCUGGAGAAAGGCUAUCGGGAGUCGUGGACCUGGGAGGAGAUUUUAGCUGGGGCUGGACCAUAGAGGAAUGCUGGAGUGGACCGGGACUGUUAUAUUGGUACACGGUUGGCAUUUAAGCCUGAGAGGCAGCCCCAAUACAUUUUUUUGGGCGGGGCACACGGGUAGUUUGGCUGGGCCAGGGUUAAGCCCCAAGCCAACUCCCCGUGCUUACCGGAGGCAGCAUGUUACUGGUCAGGCCCCGUGCUAUGGCGUGAUGCGCAUGGCGUCGAGGCCGAGUAUUCACAGGCCGGUGUGCGCGGUGCCAGCGCUCCGCAUUUGCCAGGGGGAAGCGGGAAUCCAGCCAGUAAGGGUGGUGCCAGUACUGCACUCGAAACCGCCAGUACGCCUUCACGGCCCAGUGUAUCCUGUUCCCGGUCCUCGCACCAGCCCUGAGGUGCGUGUAUCCAGUCUGGCGUAUCCAAAGCCAGCCCCACGCACCAGGCCUCCAGUGCGUAAGCCCAGUCCAACUCGUCCUGUUCCUGCUCCUUGCACUAGCCUUGGGAUGCGUGUAUCCAGUCUGGUACCUCCACUACCAGCCCCACGCACCAGGCCUCCAGUGCGUCAGCCCAGUCCAACUCGUCCUGUUCCUACUCCUCGCACUAGCCUUGGGAUGCGUGUAUCCAGUCUGGUACCUCCACUACCAGCCCCACGCAUCAGGCUUUCAGUGCGCAGUCCCCGUCCAGAGCUUCCAACGACAGUACCCCGUUCAGAGCUUCCGGCAAUAGUGCCUCGUCCAGAGCUUCCGGAAAUAGUGCCUCGUCCAGAGCUUCCGGCAACAGUGCCCCGUCCAGAGCUUCCGGCGACAGUGCCCCGUCCAGAGUGUCCGGCGACAGUGCCCCAUCUAGAGAUGGCCCACAGUCCGGAACCGAGAGAGACGGCCCACAGUCUGGAACUGAGUGAGACGGCCCACAGUCCGGAACCAAGUGAGACGGCCCACAGUCCGGAACCGAGUGAGACGGCCUACAGUCUGGAACCGAGUGAGACGGCCUACAGUCCGGAACCGGCGCAGCCAGAGUCACCCUACAGUCCGGAGCUCCCAGAGUCGCCCUACAGUCCGGAGCUCCCAGAGUUGCCCUUCUGCACGAGGUCUACAGUGACGUGCUUCAGCCCGAGGUCUACAGCGAUGCGCUUCAGCCUGAGGUAUUCAGCGGGGGUGGACAGGUUAGGUGAUGGACUAAGGCCAGAGCCUGAGCCACCUCCACAGUAGGAGGAUUGGGGAGGGGGGGUGUAGCACGGGAACCGUCGGUGACGGCAGCCACCCUCCCUUCCCUCCCUUUAGUUUGGGGGGUUGAUUUUUGUGUUUAUUUUUUGUGUGAGGUGCAUCCGGGGUCUGCACCUUUGGGUGGGG
rnacentral:lncRNA from 1 species